ACUCAAAGGAAUUGACGGGGGAGCGCACAACCGGUGGAGCAUGUUGUUUAAUUCGAUACGAAGCGAAAAACCUUACCCAGAUUUGACAUGUAACUGCACGGUCAUGGAAACAUGGCCUUCUUCGAGAGUGUUACACAGGUGAUGCAUGGCUGUCGUCAGCUCGUGUCGUGAGACGUCCGCUUAAGUGCGGUAACGAGCGCAACCCUUAUUCCGUGUUACAUUUCACGGAAGACGGUCCCGGUUUCUACCGGGAAGGAAGGAGAGGACGACGUCAAGUCAGCACGUCCCUUACAUCUGGGGCCACAAACAUCCUACAAUGGAGCCGACAACAGGUCGCGAUGGGGUAACCCUGAGCCAAUCCUAUAAACGGCUCCUCAGUUCAGAUUGAGGGCUGCAAUCCGCCCUCAUGAAGUCGGAAUCGGUAGUAAUCGCAAAUCAGCAGGUUGCGGUGAAUACGUUCUCGCUCCUUGUACACACCGCCCGU
rnacentral:rRNA from 1 species